GCCAGACUCCUACGGGAGGCAGCAGUGAGGAAUAUUGGUCAAUGGCCGCAGGGCUGAACCAGCCAAGUCGCGUGAGGGAUGACGGUCCUAUGGAUUGUAAACCUCUUUUGUCGGGGAGCAAAUUCCGCCACGUGUGGCGGAGUCGAGAGUACCCGAAGAAAAAGCAUCGGCUAACUCCGUGCCAGCAGCCGCGGUAAUACGGAGGAUGCGAGCGUUAUCCGGAUUUAUUGGGUUUAAAGGGUGCGCAGGCGGCACGGCAAGCCGGCGGUCAAAUCGCGGGGCUCAACCCCGCCCAGCCGUCGGAACUGCCGGGCUAGAGUGGGCGAGAAGUGCGCGGAAUGCGUGGUGUAGCGGUGAAAUGCAUAGAUAUCACGCAGAACUCCGAUUGCGAAGGCAGCGCACCGGCGCCCUACUGACGCUCAGGCACGAAAGCGUGGGUAUCGAACAGGAUUAGAUACCCGCGUAAC
rnacentral:rRNA from 1 species